rnacentral:rRNA from 1 species
UCCCUUCGGGGACAUUGGUGACAGGUGGUGCAUGGUUGUCGUCAGCUCGUGUCGUGAGAUGUUGGGUUAAGUCCCGCAACGAGCGCAACCCUUGUCUUUAGUUGCCAUCAUUAAGUUGGGCACUCUAGAGAGACUGCCAGGGAUAACCUGGAGGAAGGUGGGGAUGACGUCAAAUCAUCAUGCCCCUUAUGCUUAGGGCUACACACGUGCUACAAUGGGUAGUACAGAGGGUUGCCAAGCCGUAAGGUGGAGCUAAUCCCUUAAAGCUACUCUCAGUUCGGAUUGUAGGCUGAAACUCGCCUACAUGAAGCUGGAGUUACUAGUAAUCGCAGAUCAGAAUGCUGCGGUGAAUGCGUUCCCGGGUCUUGUACACACCGCCCGUCACACCACGGGAGUUGGAGACGCCCGAAGCCGAUUAUCUAACCUUUUGGAAGAAGUCGUCGAAGGUGGAAUCAAUAACUGGGGUGAAGUCGUAACAAGGUAGCCGUAUCGGAAGGUGCGGCUGGAUCACCUCCUUU